rnacentral:rRNA from 1 species
GACGAACGCUGGCGGCGUGCUUAACACAUGCAAGUCGAACGGUGGAGCUCCAGCUUCCUGGGGUGUAUCAGUGGCGAACGGGUGAGUAACACGUGAGCAACCUUGCCCGGGCGCUGGAAUAACCGCUGGCGACGGCGUCUAAUACUUGCUACGUGAGGGGGCCGCAUGGGCACCUUCGGGCAAGUCGUUCGGAUAGGGACCGAGUCCGGGGCAGCCAGGUGGUGGGGUAAGGGACGCCCAAGCCGACGAUCCGCAACUGGCCUGAGAGGAUGAUCAGUCACAGGGGAAGUGAGACGGGGUCCAGACUACUACGGGAGGCAGCAGUGGGGAAUAUGGGACAAGGGGCGAAAGCCUGAUCCAGCCAGGCCGCGUGUGUGAAGAAGGUCUUCGGAUUGUAAAGAACUUUAAGGUGGGAGGAAGGGCAGUAAGUUAAUACCGUGCUGUUUUGACGUUACCAACAGAAUAAGCACCGGCUAACUUCGUG